rnacentral:rRNA from 1 species
AUUGAACGCUGGCGGCAGGCCUAACACAUGCAAGUCGAGCGGAGCGGCGGACGGGUGAGUAAUGCCUAGGAAUCUGCCUGGUAGGGGGGGAUAACGUCCGGAAACGGGCGCUAAUACCGCAUACUAUCAGAUGAGCCUAGGUCGGAUUAGCUAGUUGGGGGGGUAAAGGCCUACCAAGGCGACGCUCCGUAACUGGUCUGAGAGGAUGAUCAGUAACACGGGAACUGAGACGCGGUCCAGACUCCUACGAGGGGAAGCAGUGGGGAAUAUUGGACAAUGGGCGAAAACCUAAUCCAGCCAGGCCGCGUGAAUGAAGAAGGUCUUCGGAUUGUAAAGCAGUUUAAGUUGAGAGGCGUUACCAACAGAAUAAGCACCGGCUAACGUCGUGCCAGCCGCCGCGGUAAUAC